rnacentral:rRNA from 1 species
UACGAAGGGGGCUAGCGUUGCUCGGAAUCACUGGGCGUAAAGCGCACGUAGGCGGUUCGCUAUGUCGGAUGUGAAAGCCCCGGGCUUAACCCGGGAAGGGCAUCCGAAACUGGCGGGCUUGAGUACGGAAGAGGGUCUCGGAAUUCCCGGUGUAGAGGUGAAAUUCGUAGAUAUCGGGAGGAACACCAGUGGCGAAGGCGGAGACCUGGGCCGAUACUGACGCUGAGGUGCGAAAGCGUGGGGAGCAAACAGG